rnacentral:rRNA from 1 species
UACGGAGGGGGCUAGCGUUGUUCGGAAUUACUGGGCGUAAAGCGCACGUAGGCGGCUUGGUAAGUUAGAGGUGAAAGCCCGGAGCUCAACUCCGGAAUUGCCUUUAAGACUGCCGAGCUAGCAGGUGAGAGAGGUGAGUGGAAUUCCGAGUGUAGAGGUGAAAUUCGUAGAUAUUCGGAAGAACACCAGUGGCGAAGGCGGCUCACUGGCUCAUACUGGACGCUGAGGUGCGAAAGCGUGGGGAGCAAACAGG